GUUGCCUCGUCAGCUGGGAACUGCAUCGUCGGCACGUUCUCAUGACCGAGCGAGGCAGGGGUAGCACGGGCGCAGCGUGUCUCCGAUGACAAUGCUGG
rnacentral:lncRNA from 1 species